UACGUAGGGUGCGAGCGUUAAUCGGAAUUACUGGGCGUAAAGGGCUCGUAGGUGGCCAACUAAGUCAGACGUGAAAUCCCUCGGCUUAACCGGGGAACUGCGUCUGAUACUGGAUGGCUAGAGUUUGGGAGAGGGAUGCGGAAUUCCAGGUGUAGCGGUGAAAUGCGUAGAUAUCUGGAGGAACACCGGUGGCGAAGGCGGCAUCCUGGACCAACACUGACGCUGAGGAGCGAAAGCCAGGGGAGCAAACGGG
rnacentral:rRNA from 1 species